rnacentral:rRNA from 1 species
CCUACGGGAGACAGCAGUGGGGAAUAUUGGACAAUGGGGGAAACCCUGAUCCAGCGACGCCGCGUGAGUGAAGAAGUAUUUCGGUACGUAAAGCUCUAUCAGCAGGAAAGAAAAUGACGGUACCUGAAUAAGAAGCCCCGGCUAACUACGGGCCAGCAGCCGCGGUAAUACGUAGGGGGCAAGCGUUAUCCGGAUUAACUGGGUGUAAAGGGAGCGGAGACGGCGGGGCAAGUCUGGAGUGAAAUGCCGGGGCCCAACCCCGGAACUGCUCUGGAAACUGUGACGCUGGAGUGCAGGAGAGGUAAGCGGAAUUCCUGGUGUAGCGGUGACAUGCGUAGAUAUCAGGCGGAACACCGGCGGCGACGGCGGCUUACUGGACUGUAACUGACGUUGAGGCUCGAAAGCGUGGGGAGCAAACAGGAUUAGAUACCCUUGUAGUC